rnacentral:rRNA from 1 species
UACGUAGGGACCAAGCGUUGUUCGGAUUUACUGGGCGUAAAGGGCGCGUAGGCGGCGUGUUAAGUCAGCUGUGAAAUCUCCAAGCUUAACUUGGAACGGUCAGCUGAUACUGAUGUGCUAGAGUGCAGAAGGGGCAACCGGAAUUCUUGGUGUAGCGGUGAAAUGCGUAGAUAUCGAGAGGAACACCUGCGGCGAAGGCGGGUUGCUGGGCUGAUACUGACGCUGAGGCGCGAAAGCCAGGGGAGCGAACGGG